UACGAAGGGGGCUAGCGUUGUUCGGAAUCACUGGGCGUAAAGCGCACGUAGGCGGAUGUGCCAGUCAGGGGUGAAAUCCCGGAGCUCAACUUCGGAACUGCCUCUGAUACAGCACGUCUUGAGUCCGGAAGAGGUGGGUGGAAUUCCUAGUGUAGAGGUGAAAUUCAUAGAUAUUAGGAAGAACACCGGUGGCGAAGGCGGCCCACUGGUCCGGUACUGACGCUGAGGUGCGAAAGCGUGGGGAGCAAACAGG
rnacentral:rRNA from 1 species